UACGUAGGGGGCAAGCGUUACCCGGAUUCACUGGGCGUAAAGCGGGGGUAGGCGGCUCGGUAAGUCGGGUGUGAAAUCCCACGGCUCAACCGUGGAAUUGCGCCCGAAACUGCUGAGCUUGGGGCCGGUAGAGGGAGUCGGAACUGCCGGUGUAGGGGUGAAAUCCGUAGAUGUCGGCAGGAACGCCGGUGGGGAAGCCGGUCUCCUGGGCCGCGCCCGACGCUGAGGCCCGAAAGCUAGGGGAGCAAACCGG
rnacentral:rRNA from 1 species